rnacentral:rRNA from 1 species
ACGGAAGGCAGCAGUGAGGAAUAUUGGUCGAUGGACGCAAGUCUGAACCAGCCAUGCCGCGUGAAGGAUUAAGGCCCUAUGGGUCGUAAACUUCUUUUGUACGGGAGCAAUAAGGUUCACGUGUGGACCGAUGAGAGUACCGUACGAAUAAGCAUCGGCUAACUCCGUGCCAGCAGCCGCGGUAAUACGGAGGAUGCGAGCGUUAUCCGGAUUUAUUGGGUUUAAAGGGUGCGUAGGCGGCUUGGUAAGUCAGCGGUGAAAUGUCGGGGCUCAACCUCGGAACUGCCGUUGAUACUGUCAGGCUUGAAUGCGGAUGCCGUGGGAGGAAUGUGUGGUGUAGCGGUGAAAUGCAUAGAUAUCACACAGAACACCGAUUGCGAAGGCAUCUCACGAAUUCGCGAUUGACGCUGAGGCACGAAAGUGCGGGGAUCAAACAGGAUUAGAUACCCUGGUA